rnacentral:rRNA from 1 species
GUGCUUGCACUCAAUUGGAAAGAGGAGUGGCGGACGGGUGAGUAACACGUGGGUAACCUACCCAUCAGAGGGGGAUAACACUUGGAAACAGGUGCUAAUACCGCAUAACAGUUUAUGCCGCAUGGCAUAAGAGUAAAAGGCGCUUUCGGGUGUCGCUGAUGGAUGGACCCGCGGUGCAUUAGCUAGUUGGUGAGGUAACGGCUCACCAAGGCCACGAUGCAUAGCCGACCUGAGAGGGUGAUCGGCCACACUGGGACUGAGACACGGCCCAGACUCCUACGGGAGGCAGCAGUAGGGAAUCUUCGGCAAUGGACGAAAGUCUGACCGAGCAACGCCGCGUGAGUGAAGAAGGUUUUCGGAUCGUAAAACUCUGUUGUUAGAGAAGAACAAGGACGUUAGUAACUGAACGUCCCCUGACGGUAUCUAACCAGAAAGUCACGGCUAACUACGUGCCAGCAGCCGCGGUAAUACGUAGGUGGCAAGCGUUGUCCGGAUUUAUUGGGCGUAAAGCGAGCGCAGGCGGUUUCUUAAGUCUGAUGUGAAAGCCCCCGGCUCAACCGGGGAGGGUCAUUGGAAACUGGGAGACUUGAGUGCAGAAGAGGAGAGUGGAAUUCCAUGUGUAGCGGUGAAAUGCGUAGAUAUAUGGAGGAACACCAGUGGCGAAGGCGG